GACGUAGGGCGCGAGCGUUGUCCGGAUUUAUUGGGCGUAAAGAGCUCGUAGGCGGCUCAUUGCGUCAACCGUGAAAACCAGCAGCUCAACUGUUGGCUUGCGGUUGAUACGGGUGGGCUGGAGUUCGGUAGGGGAGACUGGAAUUCCUGGUGUAGCGGCGAAAUGCGCAGAUAUCAGGAGGAACACCGGUGGCGAAGGCGGGUCUCUGGGCCGAUACUGACGGCUGAGGAGCGAAAGUGUGGGGAGCGAACAGG
rnacentral:rRNA from 1 species